UAGGACUCUAGCUUGGAGAGUCCUAAUUGAGAGGGACAUUCAUGUAAAAAUGUUAGGACUCUAGCUAGGAGAGUCCUAAUUGAGAGGGACAUUCUGUUAGGACUCUAGCUAGGAGAGUCCUAAUUGUGAGGGGCAUUCAUGUAGGAGGUUUUUUCUUAGAGAAGAAUUAGGAGUUGUAAGGGAAUAGGAGUCUUGAGUAGGAGUCCUAUUAGGAGUUGGUUAGAAGUAAGAGUCUUAAGUAGG
rnacentral:lncRNA from 1 species